rnacentral:rRNA from 1 species
UACGUAGGGUGCGAGCGUUGUCCGGAAUUAUUGGGCGUAAAGAGCUCGUAGGCGGUGUGUCGCGUCGGCCGUGAAAACCUGGGGCUCAACUCUGGGCGUGCGGUCGAUACGGGCAUCACUAGAGUUCGGCAGGGGAGACUGGAAUUCCUGGUGUAGCGGUGAAAUGCGCAGAUAUCAGGAGGAACACCGGUGGCGAAGGCGGGUCUCUGGGCCGAUACUGACGUGAGGAGCGAAAGCUAGGGGAGCAAACGGG